GGUGGCAGGGCCACUACCAGCGCAGACUGGCGUGGCCCAGGCAUCCCUGGGCGAGUAUCUCUUUGAGUGCCUCACUCUCAAGCACGACUAGGAGGCCUCUGCGCCUUCC
rnacentral:pre_miRNA from 14 species